UCAGCCAACGUCCACCAAGAACAAAGACGUGAAUAGCUAUGGCAAUUCCGACAGCGGAGAAAGUGUAAGAUUUCUUCAGUUUGGGUGAGAGAGAGAGAGAGAGAGAGAAGGGGAUUGAAGAGAAGACGGAGACCAACGUCUGGAAUUUUCCCACCAACAAGAUCCCUCUGCUUCUUCCUCUGUCACUCCACAAUCUCUCCAUUGUAGAUAUCAGAAAUCCCCUUUUGAGGCCCAAUAUACUAAAGCCCAUAUUCAAUUUGGACUAGCCCAUUUGAACGCCCAAUAUACUAAAGCCCAUAUUCAAUUUGGACUAUUUCCAUAAGUCUCUACUAAAGAAGAAAUCAAAAUCAAUCAACAGAGAAAGCUCGAGAGAUCAGUCCAUCGAAAAUGGCGCAAGUUCCGAAUUUGGAUAAUGCUCCGAUAAAUCUGAAAUCGUUAAGAGAUCAAUCACAAAGAGAGCUUAUUACGAUUUUGAAGAACAUUCGAGGGAAGAAGUGUUUGGUAAUUGAUCCUAAGCUUGGAGGUUCACUCUCCCUUAUUGUACAGAGCUCACUCGUCAAGGAGCAUGGGGCUGAAUUGCGGCAUCUUAAUGCGGAACCAGUUCAAACUGAUUGCUCAAAAGUAGUUUAUCUAGUUCGAGCCCAGCUUGACUUGAUGAAGUUCAUUUGCUCACACAUCCAUAAUGAUAUUUCUAAAGGGAUUCAAAGGGAUUAUUUUGUUUAUUUUGUCCCUCGUCGUGCAGUUGUAUGUGAGAAGAUACUUGAGGAAGAAAAAAUUCAUCAUUUGUUGACUAUAGGCGAGUAUCCCCUUUAUUUGAUUCCACUGGAUGAGGAUGUAUUAUCCUUUGAGCUUGAUGUUGCUUACAAAGAGCACCUAGUUGAUGGUGACACUACCUCCCUGUGGCACAUAGCAAAAGCUAUCCAUAAACUCGAGUUUUCCUUUGGACUGAUUCCAAAUGUGAGGGCCAAAGGGAAAGCAUCAGUUCGUGUUGCUGACAUUUUAAAUCAGAUGCAGUCGGAAGAACCAGUGAACACAUCUGAGAUGGGUGUGCCUGAAAUAAAUACUAUCAUACUUUUGGACAGAGAGGUGGAUAUGAUCACUCCAAUGUGUACGCAGUUAACAUAUGAAGGGCUGUUAGAUGAGUUUCUUGGUAUCAAUAAUGGUGCUGUGGAACUAGAUUCAUCUAUUAUGGGUGUCCAGCAAGAAGGCAAGGGGCCCUUAAUUCAAGUGACAAAUUGUUCAAAGAGAUACGGGAUCAGAACUUUGAAGUUGUUGUCCAGGUUCUACGUCAAAAAGCAACUUCCAUGAAGCAAGAUUACACAGAGAUGCAGACCACGAACCAAACAGUCUCCGAAUUGAAGGAUUUUGUCAAAAAGCUUAACUCAUUGCCGGAAAUGACUAGUCACAUAAAUCUUGGUCAGCAUUUAACUACGUUUACAUCCAAACCCUCAUUCCUUGGCCGACUUGAUAUGGAGCAAACUCUUGUCGAGGCUGAAAGCUAUGAUAUAUGCUUUGAGUACAUUGAGGAGAUGAUCCAUAAGCAGGAACCACUUAUUAAUGUUCUACGUCUUCUCAUCUUGUUCUCAAUAACAAAUUCAGGGUUGCCGAAGAAGAAUUUUGAAUAUUUGAGACGAGAACUGCUUCACAGCUAUGGUUUUGAGCAUAUAGCAACCUUGAAUAAUUUGGAGAAGUCUGGAUUGCUUAAAAAACAGGAGACUAAAAGCAACUGGAUAACAAUUAAACGUGCUCUGCGGCUUGUAGUGGAGGAUACUGAUACUGCUAAUCCCAAGGAUAUAUCCUAUGUCUUCUCGGGGUAUGCACCUCUCAGUGUUCGCCUGGUUCAACAUGCAAUUCGAUCUGGGUGGCGCCCUAUUGAAGAAAUAUUGAAGUUGCUGCCGGGUCCACACUCAGAUAUUAAGAGGGGUGGAUUUUCCAGCAGUCCGUCACUGGACUCAUUAAACGGGUCUUUGCAUAACUCGGACAAAGUCGUUGAUGGAAGGCGUUCUUUGGUUCUUGUCGUUUUCAUUGGUGGAGUGACAUCUGCAGAGAUCUCUGCUCUUCGCUUCCUGAGCGCCCAGGAAGGGAUGGCAUAUGACAUAAUUGUAGCAACUGCAAAAAUUGUCAACGGAAGCACAUUGACAGAAACAUUUGUGGAGAAAUUGGGAUGAUUUGCUAAGACUUGUUUUGGUUGAUUAUCUCUGGGAAAUCUCAACUGCUUGCUCAAUAGGCACGCAUAGUUUUUGGUGCUGCAUUAUAUGUGAGAAGAUCGAGUAGACUUAUCGUUCCCAAGAUAUUUCUCUCAUGGCCAUUUGUCAAAAUCAUUUCCGCACGGAUUUGUAACGAACACAACUAUGUAUCUUUAUUGAGGUAUUGUUCUUCGAGUUGUAGCGAGAUUGAAGCGUGAUCAGUUUGUUGUCUAAAUUACGUUUGGUACUUUUGAGCAAUUUAAGGGAACAAGGUGUGCUUAUUCUCUCUUUUUCGACCAA